rnacentral:tRNA from 2 species
GCCCGAGUGGCGGAAUGGUAGACGCUGCGGACUUAAAAUCCGUUGCCAGUAAUGGCGUGAGGGUUCAAGUCCCUCCUCGGGCA